rnacentral:rRNA from 1 species
GACGAACGCUGGCGGCGUGCUUAACACAUGCAAGUCGAGCGGUAAGGCCCUUUCGGGGGUACACGAGCGGCGAACGGGUGAGUAACACGUGGGUGACCUGCCCUCAGCUCUGGGAUAAGCCUGGGAAACUGGGUCUAAUACUGGAUAUGACUCCACGGUGCAUGUCGUGGGGUGGAAAGCCUUGUGCGGCUGAGGAUGGGCCCGCGGCCUAUCAGCUUGUUGGUGGGGUGAUGGCCUACCAAGGCGACGACGGGUAGCCGGCCUGAGAGGCGGACCGGCCACACUGGGACUGAGACACGGCCCAGACUCCUACGGGAGGCAGCAGUGGGGAAUCUUGCGCAAUGGGCGAAAGCCUGACGCAGCGACGCCGCGUGAGGGAUGACGG